AGUUAUUUAGCUUAUUUAAAGCAUAUAUUUUGAAAGUAUAUUAAAGGUGCUUACUUAAUAACUU
rnacentral:tRNA from 1 species